ACGACAAUAUUUUUGAGUAUGUGAUGUUUCUGUCGUUUGACAAAGUGUUUUGCUGUGUUAUUUAAUGUUUUAUAUGCUGAUUUUACUUUCUUUUAUUUUUCUAGCAACAAGUGUAUCCCAAUAAGACUACAUGUGACCCUUUGAGGACACAUUUUCCACGUUUCAUUCAUCUAACGGUUAGCCUGCAGACAAUCAGAAGAAGGAACAUGACAAGAAACAGGUCAUCUUCCAGCGGGCCUCCGGAACCACACUGUCACAUGACACGAGAGGCCAGAGUUUUGCUAAACCCCCAGAAAGGACCGACAUAACUGAUGAAAGCCGUCCAGAAAAUGCAGAUAACGAACAACAACAAGAAUGUGUCUCACAACCUCGCGGAAUUAUUUGUAACAAAGUCGUUAUGCAUUUGAACAUAAAGACAAAAUUUGUCACCCCAAACAUAUUGGGUCAGCGACCGCAAAAUACCUACUUGUACAGUGAAAUGGAAUAGCCUACUGAACGAGAAGGGGACGUUAAAACAAGGAGAAAAAUGUACACCAUCCUCAAUCAAGACUGUACUAACUCAUCAGUGUUUCUGAGGAGAAGAGGAGCGCGGCUUCAUUGUGAGUAACAGUUUAGAAAUCCAAAUUAAAUUAUUUACCAUCAACUUAAAUAACGAUGCAAAAUUAUAAUUUUGGCAAUAAAAAAUGUUAUCUAAAAUCAUAUCAAAGUGUAAAAUAUGUAUUCGAAUAAUAAAAUAGGCCUAUUUAUUUAGAUGUUGUUGAUGCAAAUUUUAUCCUAAUGUAAAAAUUCCAUUUGCUCUUCAACAACGCAGGAGCGACAAGAAACCCCCGCUGAGAUUCGCUGCCUCAGAAAGAGCACGUAUGCUUUAUACGAGUGACCAGCUAGAGCUUGAGAAGUUUCACUUCAGCAUAUUUGUACAGGCGGAGACCUGUGGAAAUGGCCAGUUUACGCAAACUUACUGAGAAGAAAAUAAAAAUACUGCUUUCAGAACCGGAGGAUGAGAGAAAAAAGACUGUAUAGGCUGAAAAGAAUGUCUUUCUUAGCUGGACCAUCUCUGAUCAACAACCUACCACCACCGUCUUGAGUGAAGCUUCAGUAGAUUGAUUUAUCUAUGGUGACUCAGGUGAAACGUCCUCCGCGAAUAGAGGUAUAUCUGGGUAUGGUUAUCCAGUAUACAUUAAUGGCAUUCUCUGUCUCUUCUGGACAGUUUACAUAAAACUAUUCUGUCAUGUUCCCAGAGCGUAGCCAAUAAUAAAGUCCCCCUUUUAAAAUGAUUAAAUGCCACUUUCAUGUAAUAUUUCCAAAACGAAUGUUUAAUGGUAAAUAAGCAUUAUAGUAAUGUACUUGAUUGUUUUAAUAACGUUACUCUUAAUAAAUCAGUCAAAUUAUUGUGUGAACAUGAAUAGUCCCACGAAUUAGACAUUUUGCGUGUUGUGGUGUAUUUAUUUAGUUAUUGCUUCUCGCGAUGUUAAUUUGAAAUGAUCUAAUCAUUUUAUCUCUGACAACUUACAAUUCUUAUUAAUAAUUUCCUGUAGGUUAUCGAAUGGAGUAUGUCACCUGUAUUAAAAAAAAAAUGGUUUUAGGUUUAUCUAAAAGUCGAAUUAGGCUAUAGCCUAGGAAUAAAAAAACAAGUUUUCUAAAAUCGAUCUGUGUAGGAGCAAAAUAUUUUAGCGGCACACAAACUUAUCUUAUUUUAAUGGCAGAUUGUAUCUAAGCACUAUCUUAAAAAGCAAGGUGGCCCACUGUAUCGAGAGAGAAAGAGAGAGAGAGAGAGAGAGAGAUAGGCUAACACCAAUCUCAGUAGGCCAUUGAUGUAGGCUACUAUAUGGGGGUUCAUUUAUUCCAGUUAAAUUAGGAACUUAGAUUUGAAAAAGCACAAGAAACUCUCUAGAAAAACAACAACAACAAAAAAAAGAACUUAAAGGCUGACCACCCUAUUUUAAGUCAUUGGUGAAAGUUAUUGUGUAUGACGAUUUUUUAGGGUCCUGUUUAUUUAUAGCUUACAACUCCAGUUGGCCUUUGCUAUAGGCUAUAACUGCGGUGCUCGCUUAAAUUCACAUUAGACCUAGUUUAUCAGAUUGAUGGGUGGAUUCGAUUGAUGUGUUUGUCAUGUAAAUACGAAUCGUUUGAUGGACACCUGCAACGCCCAGAGUGCUACCGAAGGUCGCACACUAUUGGUGCAAAAUUAGUCACAUGAUCUGUCACUAAACUGAUAUGAGCUCGGAUAGAACUUUGUGUGGUUUGACAUACUGCUUAGAGGUUGUAGGGGCACUGGGACCACACAUCAGCCUAUAUUGACCCUGCUUAAUCAA
rnacentral:lncRNA from 1 species